UUUUGCCGAUACUUUUUACAAGCGUCGGCAAUUUUCCGUUCAGCCCCAACAUAUGCCGACGCUUUGUAAAAGCGUCGGCCAUAGACGACGCUAAUUAGCGUCGUGGUAGAACAUGCGGGCCCUUCCCCUCCUCCUUCCUCCUCUCCGGCGAUGAACCGUACAUAUUAAUAAUGUGUGGUGUGGGUUGUCGUCGGCAGCCAGCCAGGAUUCUUCCUCCUCUCCCUCGUUCCUCGUCGCCACCCUCUCCCUCCUCGUGCUCGCCUCCAUCUUCUUCUUCUACUCCUUCGUCGCCUCUCUCGAGAAGUUCC
rnacentral:lncRNA from 1 species